UACGGAGGGUCCAAGCGUUAUCCGGAAUCAUUGGGUUUAGAGGGUCCGUAGGCGGUUUUGUAAGUCAGUGGUGAAAGCCCAUCGCUCAACGGUGGAACGGCCAUUGAUACUGCAAGACUUGAAUUAUUGGGAAGCAACUAGAAUAUGUAGUGUAGCGGUGAAAUGCUUAGAGAUUACAUGGAAUACCAAUUGCGAAGGCAGGUUGCUACCAAUACAUUGACGCUGAUGGACGAAAGCGUGGGGAGCGAACAGG
rnacentral:rRNA from 1 species